rnacentral:rRNA from 1 species
AUGAGCAAUGGCAGCUCCCCCACAUCCUCCCCUUCGGUCUGCUCGAGGUCAUGGUCCAUAAGUGAGGAUUCUUUGAGGAGGUACGUGAGCUACGCUAGCGAGAGCUGCAUCCAGGAGCUGCUGGCGGCGUCGGACUCCGGCGGCGCCGGGCGGGGCGGGGAAGGAAGUGGAGGAGGCGGCGAGGAGGACGACGGGUGGCAGACGCUGGCGUACUGCAACGGCGUGGAGAUAGCGAAGCGGCGGUCGGGCACGGGGCAGAUGUUCCGGAGCCGGUGGCUGCUCUACGCCGUCUCGCCGGAGCAGUUCAUGGCCGUCGCGAACGCCGUCGACGCCGCAAAGCAGUGGGAAUCUGACCUCGUCGACGCGACGUACAUCAAGGAGCUGGGCGACGACCUGAGCAUCAUCCACCUCAAGUUCGGCGACACCUCCAAGCGGCCGGGCGGCCUCUUCCGCCGCCGAGACCUCGUGGUGUACGAGCGGCGCCAGACCAUGGACGACGGCACGCUCGUGGUGGCCGUGGCGUCGCUGCCCAAGGAGAUCGCGGCGGGCCUUCUGCCACGGGACUCCAAGGGCCGGAGCUCCGUCGGCCGGGGCCUGCUCCUGCAGUCGGGGUGGGUCGUCGAGAAGCUCCUUGACGACGACGGCGUCGAGUCGUGCAUCGUGACCUACGUGGUGCAGCUUGACCCGACGGCGGGGUGGCUGCCCCGGUGCAUCGUCAGCCGGCUCGACAACAAGCUGGUCACCAUCAUCGCCAAGCUCAAGAAGCUGGCGCAGACCACCACGUGCCCGUCGGCGGCACCAGCCGCCCGUAGUUGCAACUCCGAGGAGGUGUGA